rnacentral:lncRNA from 1 species
ACUCGUAGAGUAUUAGUACAACUAUCAAUUAUAACAACUUUUCUUUAGAAGAAAGUAAUUAAUGUACAAUAUAUAUAAUAACAAACAAAAAACAUACAUACUAAUAUUAAUUAAUCUUAGGAACAAAUAAGCAUUAUGAUACAUCUUCUAAGUAUAUAAAACCUUCCUCUACCUUCUUUAAGAAGAGCACCCAUUCUUUUUCCCAUUAUUCUUCUUUUAGAUAAUCUAAUAGUCUCACUUUCUAUCUUCAUCUUUUGAUCUCCAUGUACCAACUUGGAAUUUUGCUUGUUUCCUCUUUGCUCCAUAUAGUGCAUUUUAUAGGGAAUUUAUGUUUCUCUCUUUAUGCUCUCUAUCACUUUUUUGGGGUGCUUUGUAGUUUCAACUUGAGGUGAU